GUACAUUCAAGACUAGACUAUCUGAAACCAUGAAGGGUCACAAUACAGGAGAUGCAUUUCACUGUAUUAUAACAUUAUUACUUUGAGAUGUACAGAGGUUAUAGUAACAUACCGAAGAUUUUACAAACUCUUGGAUAUGGGGUCCACAUACCUUCUGAAAUGUGUCUGAACAUUCUCCAGCCUUCAACUGCAUUUCAACCAGCAGCAUUUCAGUAGACAGAAGAGAAAGGUGGAUCUGCACUUGAUGCACAGCAAUAAUACAGAUGUGGUGGUAACCGAGCAGUUCCCUGAGUGCCAGACGAUCAGUCAACAGAGGAGGCUGCUACAGGAUGUUGAUUUCCUUUCUCAAGCUUGCAAGCAGCUAAACAUGGUCUACAAAUUUUCUGCUAGAAGAGUGGACUGCAAUAUUGCCCAAACUUGCUCCUUCAUCAUUUAUUAUAACUGAGCUUCAACAUAUGAAUUUUGGGAGGACACAAAUAUUUAUUCCAUAACAGAAAGGGUCAAUCCUGGAAGGAGGGAAUAGAAUUUGCAAGGAUAUGAAGUGAAAGGUAAAGAGAAUGUUUGAGCAUCUGUUGUAAGGCCGGCUGUUUUCCUGCCUCCCUGGUUCCAUAUCACAGAGUUCUUCAGACGUGACUAGGACCCCCAUCCACAAUCUCAUCUUAACAUCCCAGGGAGAAAAGAAAUGGUAAAUGUCCAAAAUGCAUUGGAACCUAAAAUGAUAAUUAAAUUAACUAUGUAAAAUGGGAAACACAAGUCAUCAAGCUAGACAUGGGCCAAAAAACAAAGAUGAACUAUAUAUUCUUGUACAUAUAUCCUUCUCAGUCCCUACGUCAGGCUGGCCCCUUUCACAAGUUUGUGUUCUCUUUUUUGACAUGAAGUAAAGACAUGCAAUGAAAAAUGCUGCAAGUUCCAAAGUUUAGCAGAAUGGAUAUUUUGGAUAGAGUUUUAUAAUGCUUUUUUCUAGGUAUCUUUUGUUGAAUUUACAGGACUCUUUAUAUACACCCUGUGAGGUCCAGGUUAUUCUCUGGAAAUGUUUGCUUUGUAGUUUGUAUGGUUCUGAAAGUCUAGAACCAAAGUAAACAUCAUAAAUCAAAA
rnacentral:lncRNA from 1 species